UCAGCGGCGGACGGGUGAGUAAUGCCUAGGAAUCUGCCUGGUAGUGGGGGAUAACGUCCGGAAACGGGCGCUAAUACCGCAUACGUCCUGAGGGAGAAAGUGGGGGAUCUUCGGACCUCACGCUAUCAGAUGAGCCUAAGUCGGAUUAGCUAGUUGGUGGGGUAAAGGCCUACCAAGGCGACGAUCCGUAACUGGUCUGAGAGGAUGAUCAGUCACACUGGAACUGAGACACGGUCCAGACUCCUACGGGAGGCAGCAGUGGGGAAUAUUGGACAAUGGGCGAAAGCCUGAUCCAGCCAUGCCGCGUGUGUGAAGAAGGUCUUCGGAUUGUAAAGCACUUUACGUUGGGAGGAACGGCAGUAAGUUAGUACCUUGCUGUUUUGACGUUACCAACAGAAUAAGCACCGGCUAGCUUCGUGCCAGCAGCCGCGGGAAUACGAAGGGUGCAAGCGUUAAUCGGAAUUACUGGGCGUAAUAGCGCGCGUAGGUGGUUCAGCAAGUUGGAUGUGUAAUCCCCGGGCUCAACCUGGGAACUGCAUCCUAAACUACUGAGCUAGAGUACGGUAGAGGGUGUUGGAAUUUCCUGUGUAGCGGUGAAAUGCGUAGAUAUAGGAAGGAACACCAGUGGCGAAGGCGACCACCUGGACUGAUACUGACACUGAGGUGCGAAAGCGUGGGGAGCAAACAGGAUUA
rnacentral:rRNA from 1 species